CCUACGGGUGGCAGCAGUGAGGAAUAUUGGUCAAUGGGCGAAAGUCUGAACCAGCCAAGUAGCGUGAGGGAUGACGGCCCUACGGGUCGUAAACUGCUUUUGUAUGGGAAUAAAACCUUCCACUUGUGGAAUUCUGCAGGUACCGUGCGAAUAAGGACCGGCUAAUUCCGUGCCAGCAGCCGCGGUAAUACGGAGGGCCCGAGCGUUAUCCGGUUUUAUUGGGCUUAAAGGGAGCGUAGGCGGGCGAUCAAGUCAGCGGUAAAAUUGUGCGGCUCAACCGCGCCCCGCAGUUGAAACUGGCCGCCUUGAGUUCACGACAGGCAGGCGGAAUUCGUGGUGUAGCGGUGAAAUGCAUAGAUAUCACGAGGAACCCCGAUUGCGAAGGCAGCCUGCCGGGGUGCGACUGACGCUGAGGCUCGAAGGUGCGGGUAUCAAACAGGAUUAGAUACCCCUGUAGUC
rnacentral:rRNA from 1 species